AGAUUUUAAAUUUCCCAAAAAUGCAUAAACAUCAGCGGUCUAGUCAUUAUACACUGCAAUGAAAUUUCGAUUCACAGGUUAUGACUAUUACACUGCGGAUUUUUGUACAUUUAUAAGAAGUAGUAAUUUGUCACAAUGCACAAAAUACAUGUAAAAUGCAAAAAUUAUAAAAUAUCCAAAUACAGUACUCUAUAAUAUUUAGAAAAACAUUGAUAAAUUCCAACAAUAUUCGUUUUAUUGUAAGUAUUAUAUAAAGUAGUAUAUUUUAAGAGGAUGGGAAGGUAUUACAAAAGUAUAUGUUUGUUGUGGUUUUUUAAAUAUCGUCACGUCUAAUGAAUUAGCAUUUGGCGAAGAUAAAUAAAACCACGUGAUCAAAAUCUAGGGGA